rfam:Gossypium hirsutum cultivar TM-1 chromosome 22, whole genome shotgun sequence
AAACCAUGCAUUGGGUAUUUUCUGAUUAACUCUUUGAAUCGCUCACAUGUUUCUUAUAAUGUUUAAUCUUCAGAUUGUCAAAAGAACGUAAUAUCGUUCCUCAGUUU